rnacentral:pre_miRNA from 1 species
AAGAUACUCCCUUCGUCCGGAAAUACUUGUCGAAGAAAUGGAUAAAAAUAGAUGUAUCUAGAACUUAAAUAUGUCUAGAUACAUCCAUCUCUGCGACAAGUAUUUCCGGACGGAGGGAGUAUGUG